rnacentral:rRNA from 1 species
UACAGAGGUCCCAAGCGUUGUUCGGAUUCAUUGGGCGUACAGGGUGCGUAGGCGGCGCGGUAAGUCGGGUGUGAAAUCUCGGGGCUUAACUCCGAAACUGCAUUCGAUACUGCCGUGCUUGAGGACUGGAGAGGAGACUGGAAUUUACGGUGUAGCGGUGAAAUGCGUAGAUAUCGUAAGGAAGACCAGUGGCGAAGGCGGCUCACUGGCCCGAUACUGACGCUGAGGCACGAAAGCGUGGGGAGCAAACAGG